CCGUUCUCAACGGGGUGCGUUCGCGGUGUUUCACUGCCAGCGCUGAGACAAACCCGUCGAACCUGAUCCGGAUAAUGCCGGCGUAGGGAUUUGAGACUCUCCAGAUU
rnacentral:ncRNA from 1 species